UGGAGAUCCCUGUGUAUCUGGGGCCUUCCAAAGGUGGGGCAGCUAUGAACAAGACUCAUCUGCAGACAGGAUGAACUGUAAAUGGGAUUUUCUUUAAACAAGUGCUGAAUAACUGAAGUUGCCCACCUCAUGGGCUGUACAGCUGCAGCGCGUGCCCAUCUUUCUCUUCCUUAACAGGAUUUACUCUGGUGCUCACAAGAAAGGGUUUUGCAGAAUCAGGAUCUCUUUUGGACAACUGGUUUGAGAUCUGGGACAUUUACUGUAACAAAUUCAGAAGUCACAAGAAAGUUCUUUAUAAAUUAGACUCACACUCAUGUACAAAGGAGGUUAUUUUUUAGAGAUAGAAGAAACCCAGCCUCUGUUUCAAGUUUUCUUUCUUAGCAGUAGCUGAACAGCAUGGUAGACACGGGUCCUGUAUUAUAACACUUCAUUCCUAUAGCUUGUUUUAAUGCAACUCAAUUCUGUGAAGAAGCUUCCCCACUUCAUCUCUUCCCAUGAUCUUCAUGAAUUUCUCAUACUAAUUCUCUCUGCUCCAGUGAGUGAGGAAAUGCAAUGCAAUAAGGACGUCUCUCGGAAUCACACGCCAUUUAGCCUGCUCAGGCUGUGAUUCCAUAUUCUCAGUACAAACUUUUCUGUGUUUUCCACGCAGUGCUUUCCUGUCCAAGACUGCUGUAGCAGGGAGUACGUGCACCUAAACCCACGUACCCUGGGACCUGAUGACUGGUGAUUCUUACUGCUGCUCUCCUAACUUGAUAUCCUGACCUGUCCGUUUUGUAUCUUCAAUUCAUAAAGUUCUUAGGGCCAGUAAGCUGCCAGCCAGGCAGAGUUGUCAUGCGAUCUAUAAAUAAGUUCUAUACACCUUAUAUAACAUCCACACAGAUUUUUCUGGAGCUGCUUCUGAAACAAUAAGCUUGGCAUACGUUUUUUAUCUUUUACUGAGUGGUUGGGCGGAACUCAGCUGCCAAUUUUGCUUGACAGGGAUGAUAGAAGCCUACCUACUUCUUCAGACUGUAAUUUGCUCAAUUCCAGCAUACUUUUUCCAAAUAAGUGCUUACUUCUGAAGUACAGGAUGUAACCAUUAUGGAAUCUACUCAUUUUAUUAUCUUUUGCAAUUAAAUGAAUGACUACUGAAUUUCAUA